CGGAGCGUGGCGCAGCCUGGUAGCGCACUUGCUUUGGGAGCAAGGGGUCGCCGGUUCGAAUCCGGCCGCUCCGACCA
rnacentral:tRNA from 1 species